GGUUAGGAUUCGGCGCUCUCACCGCCG
rnacentral:piRNA from 3 species